rnacentral:rRNA from 1 species
UACGUAGGGUGCAAGCGUUAAUCGGAAUUACUGGGCGUAAAGCGUGCGCAGGCGGUUGUGUAAGUCUGCCGUGAAAUCCCCGGGCUCAACCUGGGAAUUGCGAUGGAGACUGCACGGCUAGAGUGUGUCAGAGGGGGGUAGAAUUCCACGUGUAGCAGUGAAAUGCGUAGAUAUGUGGAGGAACACCGAUGGCGAAGGCAGCCCCCUGGGAUAACACUGACGCUCAUGCACGAAAGCGUGGGGAGCAAACAGG